UACGACUAUACCAGGUUGAAACACCGGUUCCCUUAUGAUCACCAAAGUUAAGCAACGUCUAGCUUCGUCAAUACCUAGAUGAGUGACCGGUUGGGGAUACUAGGUGCUGUAAG